rnacentral:rRNA from 1 species
UACGGGAGGCAGCAGUAGGGAACCCUACGGGAGGCAGCAGUGGGGAAUAUUGCACAAUGGGGGAAACCCUGAUGCAGCAACGCCGCGUGAGUGAUGAAGGUUUUCGGAUCGUAAAGCUCUGUCUUUGGGGAAGAUAAUGACGGUACCCAAGGAGGAAGCCACGGCUAACUACGUGCCAGCAGCCGCGGUAAAUGUACGUGCCAGCAGCCGCGGUAAUA